rnacentral:rRNA from 1 species
UACGUAGGGGGCAAGCGUUGUCCGGAUUUACUGGGCGUAAAGAGCGUGUAGGCGGCCAAGCAGGUCCGUUGUGAAAACUGGAGGCUUAACCUCCAGACGUCGACGGAAACCGCGCGGCUAGAGUCCGGAAGAGGAGAAUGGAAUUCCCGGUGUAGCGGUGAAAUGCGCAGAUAUCGGGAGGAACACCUAUGGCGAAGGCAGCUCGCUGGGACGUUACUGACGCUGAGGAGCGAAAGCCAGGGGAGCAAACGGG